GCAGAGCAUCCUACGGGAGGCAGCAGUGGGGAAUAGUUGCACAAUGGGCGCAAGCCUGAUGCAGCCAUGCCGCGUGUAUGAAGAAGGCCUUCGGGUUGUAAAGUACUUUCAGCAGUGAGGAAGGUGGAUAUGUUAAUAGCAUAUUCAUUUGACGUUAGCUGCAGAAGAAGCACCGGCUAACUCCGUGCCAGCAGCCGCGGUAAUACGGAGGGUGCGAGCGUUAAUCGGAAUUACUGGGCGUAAAGCGCAUGCAGGUGGUUUGUUAAGUCAGAUGUGAAAGCCCGGGGCUCAACCUCGGAAUUGCAUUUGAAACUGGCAAACUAGAGUACUGUAGAGGGGGUAGAAUUUCAGGUGUAGCGGUGAAAUGCGUAGAGAUCUGAAGGAAUACCGGUGGCGAAGGCGGCCCCCUGGACAGAUACUGACACUCAGAUGCGAAAGCGUGGGGAGCAAACAGGAUUAGAUACCCUGGUG
rnacentral:rRNA from 1 species